UACGUAGGGUGCGAGCGUUGUCCGGAAUUAUUGGGCGUAAAGAGCGUGUAGGCGGUUCGGCAAGUCUGCCGUGAAAACCUGGGGCUCAACCCCGGGCGUGCGGUGGAUACUGCCGGGCUAGAGGGUGGUAGAGGCGAGUGGAAUUCCCGGUCGUAGCGGUGAAAUGCGCAGAUAUCGGGAGGAACACCAGUAGCGAAGGCGGCUCGCUGGGCCACACCCUGACGCUGAGACGCGAAAGCUAGGGGAGCGAACAGG
rnacentral:rRNA from 1 species